rnacentral:rRNA from 1 species
GACGAACGCUGGCGGCGUGCUUAACACAUGCAAGUCGAACGGAGUGGCGAACGGGUGAUUAACACGAGGUUGAUCUGCCUUGCACUUCGGGAUAAUCUUGGGAAACUGGGUCUAAUACCGGAUAGUGCAAGAUGAGCUCGCGGCCUAGCAGCUUGUUGGUGGGGUAAUGGCCUACCAAGGCGUCGACGGGUAGCCGGCCUGAGGGGGUGUACGGCCACAUUGGGACUGAGAUACGGCCCAGACCCCUACCGGAGGCAGCAGUGGGGAAUAUUGCACAAUGGGCGGAAGACUGAUGCAGCGCCGCCGCGUGGGGGAUGAAGGGCUUCGUGUUGUAAACUCCUUUCGACAGGGACGCGGUACCUGUAUAAGAAGCAACGGCUAACUACGUGCCAGCAGCCGCGGUAAUAC